rnacentral:rRNA from 1 species
GACGAACCGUACGAACGUUAUUCGGAAUCACUGGGCGUAAAGCGUGCGUAGGCUGCUCUACAAGUCAGGAGUGAAAGCCCAAGGCUUAACCUUGGAAGCGCUCUUGAAACUGUAGGACUCGAGUUCGGGAGAGGAUAGCGGAAUUCUCAGUGUAGCAGUGAAAUGCGUAGAUAUUGAGAGGAACACCAGUGGCGCAAGCGGCUAUCUG